GUGAGCUGUGUGAUGGGAAACCUUCCUGCACGGUUCGGAGAGCACUGAAUUCAAGUAGUAAUGACAGAUCACAGCUAUAUUCUUAU
rnacentral:ncRNA from 1 species